rnacentral:rRNA from 1 species
GACGAACGCUGGCGGCGUGCUUAACACAUGCAAGUCGAACGGAAAGGCCCUGCUUGCAGGGUACUCGAGUGGCGAACGGGUGAGUAACACGUGGGUGAUCUGCCCUGCACUUCGGGAUAAGCCUGGGAAACUGGGUCUAAUACCGGAUAGGAGCCAUUUUUAGUGUGAUGGUUGGAAAGUUUUUUCGGUGUAGGAUGAGCUCGCGGCCUAUCAGCUUGUUGGUGGGGUAAUGGCCUACCAAGGCGGCGACGGGUAGCCGGCCUGAGAGGGUGGACGGCCACAUUGGGACUGAGAUACGGCCCAGACUCCGACGGGAGGCAGCAGGGGGGAAUAUUGCACAAUGGGCGCAAGCCUGAUGCAGCGACGCCGCGUGGGGGAUGACGGCCUUCGGGUUGUAAAAUCCUUUCGCUAGAGACGAAGCUUUUUGUGACGGUACCUAGAUAAGAAGCACCGGCUAACUACGUG